rnacentral:rRNA from 1 species
UUAAGUUAAUAAGGGCGCACGGUGGAUGCCUUGGCACUAGAAGCCGAAGAAGGACGUGACAAACGACGAAAUGCCUCGGGGAGCUGUAAGUAAGCACUGAUCCGGGGAUGUCCGAAUGGGGGAACCCACUAGCUACUGGCUAGUACUCUUAUCUGUUAAGGAUAGGAAGAGGAAGACGCAGUGAACUGAAACAUCUAAGUAGCUGCAGGAAGAGAAAGCAAAAGCGAUUGCCUUAGUAGCGGCGAGCGAAACGGCAGGAGGGCAAACCGAAGAGUUUACUCUUCGGGGUUGUAGGACUGCAACGUGGACUUAAAGAUUAUAGAAGAACUACCUGGGAAGGUAGGCCAAAGAGAGUAAUAGCCUCGUAUUCGAAAUAGUCUUUAUACCUAGCAGUAUCCUGAGUACGGCGAGACACGAGAAAUCUCGUCGGAAUCUGGGAGGACCAUCUCCCAACCCUAAAUACUCUCUAGUGACCGAUAGUGAACCAGUACCGUGAGGGAAAGGUGAAAAGCACCCCGGGAGGGGAGUGAAAUAGAACCUGAAACCGUGUGCCUACAACAAGUUCGAGCCCGUUAAUGGGUGAGAGCGUGCCUUUUGUAGAAUGAACCGGCGAGUUACGAUAUGAUGCGAGGUUAAGUUGAAGAGACGGAGCCGUAGGGAAACCGAGUCUGAAUAGGGCGAAUUAGUAUUAUGUCGUAGACCCGAAACCAUGUGACCUACCCAUGAGCAGGUUGAAGGUGAGGUAAAACUCACUGGAGGACCGAACCAGGGCACGUUGAAAAGUGCUUGGAUGACUUGUGGGUAGCGGAGAAAUUCCAAACGAACUUGGAGAUAGCUGGUUCUCUCCGAAAUAGCUUUAGGGCUAGCGUCGACAUCAAGAUUCUUGGAGGUAGAGCACUGUUUGGGUGAGGGGUCCAUCCCGGAUUACCAAUCUCAGAUAAACUCCGAAUGCCAAUGAAUUAUGGUCGGCAGUCAGACUGCGAGUGCUAAGAUCCGUAGUCGAAAGGGAAACAGCCCAGACCACCAGCUAAGGUCCCAAAAUAUAUGUUAAGUGGAAAAGGAUGUGGGGUUGCACAGACAACUAGGAUGUUGGCUUAGAAGCAGCCAUCAUUCAAAGAGUGCGUAAUAGCUCACUAGUCGAGUGACCCUGCGCCGAAAAUGUACCGGGGCUAAAACAAUUUACCGAAGCUGUGGAUACCUUUAAUGGUAUGGUAGGAGAGCGUUCUAUGUGUGGAGAAGGUGUACCGUGAGGAGCGCUGGAACGCAUAGAAGUGAGAAUGCCGGUAUGAGUAGCGAAAGACAGGUGAGAAUCCUGUCCACCGUAAGACUAAGGUUUCCAGGGGAAGGCUCGUCCGCCCUGGGUUAGUCGGGACCUAAGGAGAGACCGAAAGGUGUAUCCGAUGGACAACAGGUUGAUAUUCCUGUACUAGAGUAUGUAGUGAAGGAGGGACGCAGUAGGCUAACUAAAGCGUGCGACUGGAAGUGCACGUCUAAGCAGUGAGGUGUGAAUUGAGUUAAAUGCUUAGUUCUAUAACAUUGAGCUGUGAUGGGGAGCGAAGUUUAGUAGCGAAGUUAGUGAUGUCACACUGCCAAGAAAAGCUUCUAGCGUUAAUCAUACUCUACCCGUACCGCAAACCGACACAGGUAGUCGAGGCGAGUAGCCUCAGGUGAGCGAGAGAACUCUCGUUAAGGAACUCGGCAAAAUGACCCCGUAACUUCGGGAGAAGGGGUGCUGGCUUAAAGUCAGCCGCAGUGAAUAGGCCCAAGCAACUGUUUAUCAAAAACACAGCUCUCUGCUAAAUCGUAAGAUGAUGUAUAGGGGGUGACGCCUGCCCGGUGCUGGAAGGUUAAGAGGAGUGCUUAGCGUAAGCGAAGGUAUGAAUUGAAGCCCCAGUAAACGGCGGCCGUAACUAUAACGGUCCUAAGGUAGCGAAAUUCCUUGUCGGGUAAGUUCCGACCCGCACGAAAGGCGUAAUGAUUUGGGCACUGUCUCAACGAGAGACUCGGUGAAAUUUUAGUACCUGUGAAGAUGCAGGUUACCCGCGACAGGACGGAAAGACCCCAUGGAGCUUUACUGUAGCUUGAUAUUGAAUUUUGAUGCAGUAUGUACAGGAUAGGUAGGAGCCUAAGAAUCAUGCACGCCAGUGUAUGAGGAGGCGUUGUUGGGAUACUACCCUUGCUGUAUUGAAAUUCUAACCCUCGGCAUAGAAAACCGGGAGACAGUGUCAGGUGGGCAGUUUGACUGGGGCGGUCGCCUCCCAAAGAGUAACGGA